GACGAACGCUGGCGGCGUGCUUAACACAUGCAAGUCGAACGGAAAGGCCCUGCUUUUGUGGGGUGCCCGAGUGGCGAACGGGUGAGUAACACGUGAGUAACCUGCCCUUGACUUUGGGAUAACUUCAGGAAACUGGGGCUAAUACCGGAUAGGAGCUCCUGCUGCAUGGUGGGGGUUGGAAAGUUUCGGCGGUUGGGGAUGGACUCGCGGCUUAUCAGCUUGUUGGUGGGGUAGUGGCUUACCAAGGCUUGGACGGGUAGCCGGCCUGGGAGGGUGACCGGCCACAUUGGGACUGAGAUACGGCCCAGACUCCUACGGGAGGCAGCAGUGGGGAAUAUUGCACAAUGGGCGGAAGCCUGAUGCAGCGACGCCGCGUGCGGGAUGACGGCCUUCGGGUUGUAAACCGCUUUCGCCUGUGACGAAGCGUGAGUGACGGUAAUGGGUAAAGAAGCACCGGCUAACUACGUG
rnacentral:rRNA from 1 species